AAUGAAUUUGCUUUCUAUCAAUUUGCUUUUAUGCCCAUAUUUCAGGGUGCUGAGAUAAGGUCAACUGUCACACAGGAAUGUUUGCUGAAUAAAAAUUGAUGCAUAAAGAGCUGCGGAGCAGGUUAAAGGUGGGCUCCCUUCUGCCAAUGAGUUCCAGAUCUGACCUUUACUUUAUGCAAUUCAAUAGGUUCAAUAUGUUAGCUUGCGCUAUUCUGUCAAACUGAGAGAAGGUCUCCUCAGUUACCAUGAGCCACAGUCAUGUAAAGUCUUUCAUCUGAUUUGUUUCCCUUUUGUAUUUGUUGUUAUUUUGUUCGUGCCGAGACAGGAGAGAAUCAGUCAGCUUUUUGAUUUGAAGGAAGCCGGCUUAUUGUACAUCUGAACUGCUGAGUUUCAUACUGUGGGGAUGUCUUUGUUAUCAUACUGUAGUAAUCAGAACAUAUAAAAGUGAUGCAUUUCUUACAGCACAUGUGGAUUCCCAGCAUAUUUCCACAAUUCACACUGGAUAUGCAUUAUUCAAAAACCAAGAACAGAACUGGUCAGAAAAUAUUUCAACAUGGCCGACAGUGUAAAUGUUUGUAGUUCUUAUUGUUGUUAUUCAGAUUGUUAUUAAUGAACCUGCAGUAACAUCUGUAAAUUUGCUGUAAUAUACAGUAAGGCUAUGGGAAGUUGAAUUCUUCAAAAUUGUAAGAACCCCGGUUAAUAAAAGUAAAACCCACAAUGGUCAUGAAAAACUACUUAUAACUUGAAACUGACCAAAUUUACUGAAAAUUAACCCUAGAAAAUUGUUUGAUUGUGGCACAACAGGGGCAGCAUGGUGGUGCGGUGGGUAGCACUGUCGCCUCACAGCGAGAAGGGUUUGAUUCCUUGAGGCGGCCCAGGUGCCAUUCUCUGCAUGUUCUCCCCGUGUCCGCAUGGGUUCUCUCUGGGUUUUCUGAAUGUUUGUUUGUCUAUGUGUUGCCCUGCGAUGGGCUGGCGACCUGUCGAGGGUGUACCCCGCCUCUCGCCAUGGCCAGCUGGGAUAUGCUCCGGCACCCCUGCGAUUAAGCGGGGUGGGAGAUGGAUGGAUGGAUGGAUGGAUGGAUGUGGCCCAACAGAAUAAUUAAAAAAACAAACAAAUGAAGCAGGUCUGGACAAAAUGAUGGUAUCUCUAUCUAACUUAAUAUUUUUUUGCAACCAUUGUAACCAAACAAUUUCUGUAACUGUCAGUCAGAUGUGCGCCUGUCAACUUUUCAACAAUUUUGUCAGUUAGCAGGUUUCAGCCUUUUCCAUAGAUUUUCAAAAGGAUUCACUGUAGAGUCCACAUUAGAUUAGUCCAUUAUUGGGUGUUUAGCUGGGUGCUUUGGGUCAUGACCUAUUUGUCUUUCUUUCUUUUCUUUCUGACACUAGGCAGCACAUUUCUCUCAAGAUGCCUUGAUAGUCUUGAGAUUUCAUUGGACCCUGCACAGAUUCAAGAGGCAGCAGAGCAGCCCCAGAACAUAACCAAGCCUGCUCCAUGUGUCAAAGUAGGGCUGGCGAAUCCCAGCUACUAAAACGCGAGGAGGUUGUUUCUCAAUCUGACGCCACUGCAGGCUGUGGACACGCGGCGUCCCACCGGCGCUCUGAGCAGAAUAGGAGCAACCUGAUAGAAAGGAGGUCAUUGAUGCCAUGCCAAGAUUUAACAAACCAGCAUUAUAAAAGCUAAGUUGAAAACGUGUUUGCUCCAAACACCAUUACAACUGAUCUAACUACCUCUAUAUAUUGUUUACAUUUGUGAAGGUUGUGAGAUACAUAGGAAAUAUUGGACAUUUUGUUAAUCUACAAUUCUAUUCUCUAUACCUUCUAGGAAGGUAACGUGUCAAGGAAAACAGCUGCAUCCUCUAUCUGUACAGCAGCUGCACUGCUUCCAAUGUCUUCCAAAACUCGAUGAAGACAAAAAAGAUCCUCACAUUUCCCCAGCCAACUGCCCAUGACUGUACCUGUUCCACUACAAAAACUAUGCUUUCAACAUAACUAUGAAUCCUACCCAUUCAUUUUGUGGUCUGCAAAUUGAGCUGUGAAGGUAACUUAUCCAGCAUUAUAGUGCUGGUGCAUUUGUUAACAAUAAAGUUGGCUUUGAUUA